CACGAACUCGACGCGCCCUUCUGGCGCACGGAACUACGCUAACCAGAGAGGCCCGCGGUAACAGCCGGGAUGCGUGACCUCGCCGCUAAACUGUCGAGUUCCUAUCCCGUUAGGGAUGCAGCUUCACAGGCUGACCCAAAGUUUAAUUGUCUCUGAGACGGUGGUGAAGCACUGCAGUACUUGCAGAUUUCCAUCUACAAUAUUUUGCUCUUGUGCCAGUAUUUCACCCUGAUUGGAAGGUGCACAUAAAAUACAUAAUCCUGUCAAGAAUUAAUUGACUGAAGACUCCAGAAGAUAAUGCUGUGCCUGAAAGAAAACUGAGACAAAUAUUGCACCUGGGUACUCCAGUGCCUACAGUGACCAUUCCCGAUGCAAGUAAACUCACAUGGAUUAUCAUUGGAUUACUUCAGCUUUUAAUAUUAAUAUUUAUAGUAUUUAUUCUUUUCAUUCGAAAAUUGCAUCAACGGAAAGCAAAUGUACCAUUUAAAUCUACAGAUGUGAUACCCAAUAGUGAUGUCGUCAUUUCAAGUUUCAAGGAAACCACACUUGCCGAAGACACACAUCAAUUCUCUCGAGUAAGAAAUCAGCAAUCAGAUCACCUUAUGGAACCUGACAUUUCCAUUUGCACAGUCCAAGGAAGUGAAAUGAAGAUACUGAUAUCAUGUGGUCAGGGAGACUAUGACUAUGAUGCCUCAUUUCCUCUACCAGCUACCGAAGAAGGAGCAACAGCUCUUGUCACAACCAAAACUGCAGAGCGCUGUGACUGUAGAUAAGUGUAUUAUUUCAGCAGUCAGGAAUGCUUUUUGAAAUACCAUGAGCUGAUAUUUAGAAAUUUGCAGAAUGAUUCCUGAAGAUGACAUGUUGCUGUUGUAAAAUUCUGCCUUGUGCAAUUUGACUGCCUUGCCUAUGAUAUGAUGGCAACUACACUUCACAAAUACUUGUGCUGUAAAGUAUUUUGAGAUAUUUCAAGAUUGCAAAAACUCUCAAGGUGCCAUAAAAAUGUCAGGCUUUUCUUUCAUUUGCUUUUUUUUUUGCAGAAUGAUCUUCACAGGGGCUAACCCUUAAGGUUGAACUGAUUCUGCUGAUCCAAAACUGUUGGAUCUCCUUUUUUUUAAUAACUUUUUUGGAUUUUUGUUGUCAACUGCCAUAUUUUGGUUUUUGUAGUUUAAUUAAGUUGCGGCUUCAAUAUGUUUCCGUUUCUCUUGCUUAAUUUCUUGUUGUCAUGACCCUUAACUGAUUUCAAAGUUUCUAAUCAGUUCAAACAGUUGUGUUUUCUUCUAAGGUUUCUUUAUUGCUAUAUUCUGUUUUCCUCAAUGUUCUGUGUUUUACCAUAGUGAUAUUUAUAAUUUAUUACCUUAACCAUAUAACAAUUACAGCAUGGAAACAGGGCAUAUCGACCCUUCUAGUCCAUGCUGAGCGCUUACUCUCACCUAGUCCCACCAACCUGCACUCAGCCCAUACCCUCCAUUCCUUUCCUGUCCAUAUACCUAUCCAAUUUUUUAAAAUGACAGUAUCAGUGUAGUGUAGUUUGUAUUUGUUUGUAGUUUGUAGCUUUAGUGUAGUUUGACAAUAUUUAAACUUAGUUUUAUUUUCUUUGCUCUUCAUACAGCUAGCAAUUUUUUCAAAUCACUUUUGCAUUCUACUUUUUUGUGCUUCCUCAGUUGUGUCCUAUUUUUGAAUUUUCUCCCCCCCCCCCCCCAUCUGAUUAAGAUUUUGGUUUGCAACAUUAUUCAAGCUCCUCAGCUUUAUUUCAUUGAACAAAGCUGAAGGUCAAAUGCAAGUGUCAGAGAAAUUGUCAUGAAGAUAGGCAAUGGCAGCCAGGCAAAGGCUACAUAACUUUACAUUUACUGCAAAUAAUGAGAAAUAUAAACACAUUUAUUUGAAAAGAAAAAAAGACAAGAUAGUAUGAUUCAAAGAUAAUUAUGAAUCUUAAUGUUAAGCAAAUGAAGUAGAAAAAUUGUGAAAUAAAUUGUUAUGAAUGUACCACAGCUCUGAGGGGCCGAAGGGUGCGGGGUAGCCCCCUCCUUUGUGAGAAUCGCAAGAUCACUAUUGAUUUGGGUCAGGAGACCCAGGAAAUGAGAGAGAGACGUGCCGAAUGUCUUGUUCCCCCCCCCCCCCCACCCCCUGGCGAUAUAAAGCUACAGGAAACGGCCUUUGUCUCUUGGAGACGGACUUGUGGAUUGCAAUACUGUGCUACGUGGAAGCCCUCAGGCAAAGUAGGCUGGUUGAGGGAGGGAUUGCCUCAUCCCAACCUGAUUGACAUCUCAGACCCUGUGAGUCAGGAUAAAAGAGGGUCUGUGGGAACAGCCCCUUCAGAUGCACCAGAAGAAACACUAGCGAUCCCGUAAUAGCUGAAGCCGGUGGGAAGGCCACGUGUGUUCAGUUCCAUUUGCCCCGGAACCGGUGCCCUUUACCACGGAAAAACGGCUUUUAGCUAACAACGGGGAAACCAACUCCCAACGACUCGAAGGAUUGACAUCAUAAAAGGACUGGGCAAGUUUUAAACCCGUCUUUCUUUCAAACCAAAAUGCUGCAGCUUGAACGAACUAUCAGUGACUUUUAUAUUUCCAUCGGACAAUAAUUAUCCCCUAGACAACAAUAGAGCUAUUUCUUAUUGAUUAUUAUUAUACCCGCGCAUUUAGAUUUAGUAUUGACGACGUAUAUUGUUCGUAUGUUUGCAUUGAUAU